CACCGCGGUUAUACGAGAGACCCAAGUUGACAAGUCUUCGGCGUAAAGAGUGGUUAAACUAAUUACAAACUAAAGCCGAAAUUCCCUCAGAACUGUUAUACGUACCCGAGGGUAAGAAGCCCCCUUACGAAAGUAGCUUUAAUAUUUUUGACCCCACGAAAGCUGUGAAA
rnacentral:rRNA from 1 species